GUUAGAAAUCAUAAUGUUCGACUAACAGAAGUUUAAUCGGGUUUUAAUCAAUAUAUAUAUAUGCGUAGUAUUUAGCCUUAUUAAUUUAGUCGAUUUGUGCUUUGUUAGUUUUGUUACUAGGCCAGAGAAGUCUGGUAACUAGGAUGUGGACAUAGGUGUAUGAGACCGUUUAAGCAAUAUCCUUAUAAGGUGAUGGUUUGGUAGAAACAGUACUCUAAAGAUUAUUCAAGUAGAACUUUUAAUUAAGAUAGGAAACAAAGUUGCAUACCAGAACCAGUCAAGGAGAGAUAGAAGAAUACUGGCACAAUCGUUGGGACUUAUCCAGGACUCUGAAAGGUGAAAAGGACAUAGCGAGGAAGACGUCUUACUUCAUCUGAGGAAGACUACUUACUUCAUCCUAACGACCACCAGAAGGGGGCUGCGCAAGUGCAGAAACAACUGAUGGCGUAAUCAAGAGAUGAAGCAAUUUGUAAAUACAUAUGCAUGAGAAGAUGUUGUAACCUGUUGAAUAUACAUUAGAUUGUGAAAUCUCAACAGGAUAAAUUGCGGGUGCGUUGUGAUGAUCUUUGGAACCAGAUUUAGGUGCAUACCCCUGGUUCCCGGGGCCUCGAAAUAAAGCACCACAUAUAACCUCCUUAGAGUGGUUAUGUGUUCUUCUCUUGGCUAACAGUUUGGCGACCCAGAUGGGACCUCACGGGCAUUGCUGAGGCGGCUCGCGCAUCGAUUCAGCUCCAGCCGGCACUGAGUGAUUCUCGGGGAGCCAUCGACUGCAACCGACCUCCGGUGCUCUCGACGGACCAACGGCAUUGUAGAACGUUGAUCCGGUUGCGUAGCGCCCUAAUCUGGAACCGACCGCUCUCAUUGGAUACUCCAGUACACGAGAUCGAGCCAGGAGACCAGGUCUACGUUCGUGAUUGGAGCAAGGAACCACUGAAGGAAUGGUGGAAUGGGCCAUACCUGGUGCUGCUAACUACCUCCACCUCCUACUUAUCAGGAAACAACUACAUGAGUGAAAAUACUUGCAGAAGAUGAAGUAUUUUCAAAGGGGGGAAAUGUUAGAAAUCAUAACAUUCGACUAACAGAAGUUUAAUCGGGUUUUAAUCAAUAUAUAUAUGUGUGUAGUAUUUAGCCUUAUUAAUUUAGUCGAUUUGUGCUUUGUUAGUUUUGUUACUAGGCCAGAGAAGUCUGGUAACUAGGAUGUGGACAUAGGUGUAUGAGACCGUUUAAGCAAUAUCCUUAUAAGGUGAUGGUUUGGUAGAAACAGUACUCUAAAGAUUAUUCAAGUAGAACUUUUAAUUAAGAUAGGAAACAAAGUUGCAUACCAGAACCAGUCAAGGAGAGAUAGAAGAAUACUGGCACAAACACAAUCGUUGGGACUUAUCCAGGACUCUGAAAGGUGAAAAGGACAUAGCGAGGAAGACGUCUUACUUCAUCUGAGGAAGACUACUUACUUCAUCCUAACGACCACCAGAAGGGGGCUGCGCAAGCGCAGAAACAACUGAUGGCGUAAUCAAGAGAUGAAGCAAUUUGUAAAUACAUAUGCAUGAGAAGAUGUUGUAACCUGUUGAAUAUACAUUAGAUUGUGAAAUCUCAACAGGAUAAAUUGCGGGUGCGUUGUGAUGAUCUUUGGAACCAGAUUUGAGUGCAUACCCCUGGUUCCCGGGGCUUCGAAAUAAAGCACCACAUAUAACCUCC